UACGUAGGGUGCGAGCGUUAAUCGGAAUUACUGGGCGUGAAGCGUGCGCAGGCGGUGAUGUAAGUCAGAUGUGAAAUCCCCGGGCUCAACCUGGGAACUGCAUUUGUGACUGCAUCGCUGGAGUGCGGCAGAGGGGGAUGGAAUUCCGCGUGUAGCAGUGAAAUGCGUAGAUAUGCGGAGGAACACCCGUGGCUAAGGCGGCUCUCUAGUACGGUACUGACGCUGAGACACGAAAGCGUGGGGAGCGAACAGG
rnacentral:rRNA from 1 species